rnacentral:lncRNA from 1 species
CUUGAUUUGAAAAUUUUCCAAACAUCAAAGAAAGUCAUCAAUUGUUCAAAAAUUUUAACUUUUUUUGUUAUAAAUGGAUAGAAUUCUUCGUCUAGGUGCCGGUGGUUUGCCUGGCGUUGGACAGGUAAUAUUAAAGAGUUUUUAAUUGUGUUUUUGUUUCUAGACAGCGUGUCACUAUCUUUGCUGUCACAUGUUGUAUUUAAUACUUUUAAUACUUGUAUACAAUUUUGAAAAGGACAUCAAGAAUUUAAAAGCCUUUUCAAGCAAAAAGAUAAAAUAUGAUAACGAACUUCAAUAGAACAAGGUCAUGUCACAGGCUUAUUUCAAUAGUCUAAUCCUUGGUUAGUGACUUUCCCAAACUUGUGAAGUCACCAUUUAAAUUUUUUAUUUUUACCAUACACUCAGUCACCUAGCUAUUAACCUUCUAAGGCUCUGGUCACCAGGGUGCGAUAAUUUGUGUACUUACGUACCGAAGGUGCACCAAUAUUACUGUCUGGUACUUCUUUGUUUUCAGCCACGUACCACGUAGGUACACGGAACUCUUGCUAUCUGCGUACUUAUUUUUUGCUGGUAGCACAUGACCUUUCCAAGGUAUUCAAUACCGUAAUUUAGUUGGUAUAUCAUGUGUCUGAGAUGUCUUGGCAUGAAACAUGAUUACAAUGAUGGCACUCAAAGAAACGUUGGAGUCGGUUGUUUGAAAUAGCAAAACUCUGUUUUUAAAUAGCAAAACUCCUGUUUCAAAUAACAAAACUCCCUUUUCAAAUAGCAAAACUCCCUUUUCAAAUAGUAAAACUCUGUUUGCUACCUUGUAGUCUGAACAUACUUUUCAGAAAGCUGCACUUUAUGAACCUUAUUUUUAAAGACUAAGUACACAUUGAGUACUGAGUUUGUUCUAGUGCAAGUACGCGGCAACAACCAUUGGCGUACCAGUCAGGUACGACUAGAAAUCUUGAACGAUUGCACCCUGUGUUCACAUGGUGUGAAAUGAAUCAAUACUUUUUUUUGACAAGAUAAAAAAUUAGUCUAUAAUGGGAAUUGUCUAUUGGUGAUUAAAGUUGUGCUUUUUUCAUGGUUUAAGAGCCCUCCAAGCGAUGCACCAAUAGUCGACACUGCGGAGCAGGUUUAUAUAUCAUCUCUAGCCUUGCUAAAGGUAAGAUUAAACCAUUUCACACACAAAAUAUCUUUAGUUUGUUAAUUUUAUAACCAUGGUUCUGGCUUUUACUUACAUUAUUUCAUUUUUUUAUGUGUUUCAUGGCAGAUGCUAAAACAUGGUAAGAUUUUGGUCUGGGCAAAUAACAUUUUCUUCUAUCAAGACUAAUAUUAUUCCUUGGUAAUAUCUGACAUCUUGUCAUUUGUUUAGGACGUGCUGGUGUACCCAUGGAGGUCAUGGGCUUGAUGCUGGGAGAAUUUGUUGACGACUAUACUGUCCGUGUUAUCGAUGUUUUUGCUAUGCCACAGAGUGGUACAG